UACGUAGGUGGCAAGCGUUGUCCGGAAUUAUUGGGCGUAAAGCGCGCGCAGGCGGUUCUUUAAGUCUGAUGUGAAAGCCCACGGCUCAACCGUGGAGGGUCAUUGGAAACUGGAGAACUUGAGUACAGAAGAGGAAAGCGGAAUUCCACGUGUAGCGGUGAAAUGCGUAGAUAUCGUGGAGAACACCCGUGGCGAAGGCGGGCUUCUGGUUAAUGACUGACGCUGAGGUGCGAAAGCUAGGGGAGCGAACGGG
rnacentral:rRNA from 1 species